rnacentral:rRNA from 1 species
AAAAUCCGGAGAGUCACAUUCCCUGAGGUGUCAUAGCGAGGGCUUACAGCCCGCAAAGUCGGUGACGCCAUGCUGCCAAGAAAAGCCUCUAAGGAGAGAAGUGGGUACCCGUGCCGCAAACCGACACAGGUAGGUGAGGAGAAAAUCCUCAGGCGCGAGUGAGAACCCUCGUUUAGGAACUCGGCAAACUGGCCCCGUAACUUCGGAAUAAGGGGUGCUCGAUUAGUGUGUAGGAUCCUCGCGGUUCUAUGCAUGAACGAGUUGCAGUAAAGAGGCCCAAGCAACUGUUUACUAAAAACACAGGGCUAUGCUAAGUCGAACACGACGUAUAUGGCCUGACGCCUGCCCGGUGCCGGAAGGUUAAAGGGAGAGGUUAGCCGCAAGGCGAAGCUUCGAGCUGAAGCCCCGGUAAACGGCGGCCGUAGCUAUAACGGUCCUAAGGUAGCGAAAUUCCUUGUCGGGUAAGUUCCGACCUGCACGAAUGGCGUAAUGAUUUGGGCGCUGUCUCAACGAGGGGCACUGCGAAUUUGUGGUACCGGUGAAGACGCCGGUUGCCCGUGUUUAGACGAAAAGACCCCGUGCACCUUUACUACAUCUUAGUAGUGAAUGCUGGCGUGUUAUGCGCAGGAUAGGUGGGAGACUGUGGUCCCGGGCUCUCGGGCUCGGGUGAGUCAACGGUGAGAUACCACCCUUAACACUCCGGCGUUCUAACCUCGAUCUGUCAUCCAGGUCAGGGACACUGCUAGGUGGGUAGUUUGACUGGGGCGGUCGCCUCCUAAACUGUAACGGAGGCGCGCGAAGGUUCGCUCAGGCUGUUUGGAAAUCAGCCGUAGAGUGCAAAAGCAUAAGCGAGCUUGACUGCGACACCUACAAGUGGAGCAGGUGGGAAACCAGGCUUUAGUGAUCCGGUGGUUCCGCGUGGAAGGGCCAUCGCUCAACGGAUAAAAGGUACGCCGGGAUAACAGGCUGAUCCUAGCCAAGAGUUCACAUCGACGCUAGGGUUUGGCACCUCGAUGUCGGCUCAUCACAUCCUGGAGCUGUAGCAGGUUCCAAGGGUUCGGCUGUUCGCCGAUUAAAGUGGUACGUGAGCUGGGUUUAGAACGUCGCGAGACAGUUCGGUCUCUAUCUGACAUGGGCGGAGGAAAUUUGAGGGGUCUUGACCUUAGUACGAGAGGACCGGGUUGAACGAACCUCUUGUGUACCGGUUAUCCCGCCAGGGGUAGCGCCGGGUAGCUACGUUCGGAAGUGAGAAACGCUGAAUGCAUCUAAGCGUGAAACACUCCCCAAGAUGAGAUUUCCCAGACCGCAAGGUCUCUAAAGGGUCCUGGAAGAUUACCAGGCUAAUAGGCUGGGUGUGGAAGCGUAGCGAUACGUGGAGCUAACCAGUACUAAUCACCCGUGAGGCUUGACC